UGGUCUGCAGGGCGCAUGCGCAGGAGGUUUGAGCGUUCGCUGGUGUGAGGCAGGCGAGGGGCGGUGGGAUCUUUGGGCUUUCUGUGUGGAAGGAAUGAGUGGGCUGGUGUCCGGGAGCUUCCAGUCCCAAACUUGAGGUAGCUUGGGGUCCGUGUGGGCGCUGGCUGUAGGACCCCAGUGUAAGUGGUGACUGUGGGGCCUGUGAGCUUCCUGAAGAAGCUAGCAAGUGGCAGAGAUCCAGGCAAACGUGGAAAUACUUUCUUAAGUUUGGCCGUAGAAACAGAGGAGUCAAUGAUGUUAUGGAUACAUCACAGCGUGGAUACAGCAUGUAGCCUGAGUCAGGAGAGCAGCAUAUUUUCUAAGAUGUAAAGUCACUCACUCUAAAUGGUGUAGAAAGUGCUUUGUGCUUGUAAUGUUUUCAGGCUUAAAUUGUCUAGAAAUGAGUAUUUUCCAACAAUCAGAAAUUAAACUCAGUAUAUCUGCUGGCUUUGUAACUUAUCUGCUUGUUCUUUGAUUGGCUUGUGACUCCCUUCUUCAUAUUUUCUGCUAAUCUUUUAUUACUAUGUUAACAUGCAUUAUAUCCAAGCAUUGAACAAGCUUGCCAGAAGUACUUACUUUAGUGUUCAUUUGUUUUGUUUACCUGAUUGUGGGCUUUUUAGAUUCAUUCAUUAUAACUUUGACGUGGAGACAGAAAGGACUUGUGGUGGUGGUGGAGAUGAUGUUGUACAGUUAGUUGCUAUGACAAAUGUAGUUUUUCUUUACUAAGACUUUGGUCCUGGAUAUGUUUCUGAUGCGUGUGGCCUACGCUGCUGUCAGAUACUUGGGGUAUGUAAAGACAUCUACCACAGCUGUACUGCACACUGAAGUGUGAAGCUGGUAUCUUUUAUCAGGUCAUGCUGAAUCUGUAGUAAACGGCUAAAGCAGGUCUUGGAGAACAGAAGAGGUGCCUGAAGACUGGAACAUAGCCAGUGUCACUCCAGUGUUCAAAAAGGGCAAGAAGCAGGAUCUGGGAAACUACCAGGCCAGUCAGCCUCACUUCUGACUCUGAAAAGGUGAUGGAAAAGCUUUUUCUGGAUGCCAUCUCCAAGCAAUUGGUAGAAAAGAAGGCUAUCAGGAGUAGUCAGCAUGGAUUCACCGAGGGAAACUCAUGCUUGACAAGAGUCAUAGCCUUCUGUGAUGGCAUUACCGGCUGGAUGCUUUGUUAAGUAAAGUCUGAAAUGUUUCAAGGGAUGCCAUUUCCAGCACCUUCUUCUGAAGACUCCUGAUAAUCAAAUAGGAACAUCAGAUAUAUGUGGGUUUGAACUCAAAGCAAAGAUAGAGUCCAAACCUUAGCAUGACAGAAAGCGGGCUUUGUAUCAUAUUUGAAAACUCUUCACCAGUCUUCAUACUCUCUUGGAACGUAAAUUAGAUGCGAACUUACCUGGUGAAAUGUCAUGGAGACGAGAGAGAAGAGAUGCAGAAAAGCAGAGAGUUUCCAUCCUCCUGCCGACCCAGUGGAACACAAUGCUGUAACAGCAAGCGUCUGACUAAUUUCACAAAAUCGUAUAUCAAACUGGGAGGGACCCACAGGGAUCAUGGAGUCCAGCUCCUGGCUGGACCACACAAAAAUCAAACCCUAGGUCUGAGAGCGUUGCACAAAUGCUUCUUCGGCUCCGACAGGCUCGGACCACAGCCCCGUGCAGCCCGUUCCGUGCCCACCGCCCCCUGGUGCAGCCCCUGUCCCUGACCCCCCUCCCCUGAC